rnacentral:rRNA from 1 species
GAUGAACGCUGGCGGCGUGCCUAACACAUGCAAGUCGAACGGAGUCCAGCCUUUAAGACCUUCUGGUCCAAGAGGGGAAGACUGAGUGGCGGACGGGUGAGUAACACGUGGGCAACCUGGCUCAUAUAGGGGGAUAACAGAUAGAAAUUUCUGCUAAUACCGCAUAAUCACACACUGCCGCAUGGCAGUGUUUGAAAAGAGAAUCGCUAUGAGAUGGACCCGCUUCUGAUUAGCCAGUUGUCAGGGUAAGAGCCUACCAAAGCGACGAUCAGUAGCCGAUCUGAGAGGAAGAACGGCCACAUUGGGACUGAGACACGGACCAAACUCCUACGGGAGGCAGCAGUGGGGGAUAUUGCAAAAUGGGGGGAAACCUGAUGAAGCGACGCCGCGUGAGUGAAGAAGUAUUUCGGUAAGUAAAGCUCUAUCAGAAGGGAAGAUAAUGACAGUACCUGAAGAAGAAGCCCCGGCUAACUACGUG